AUUAGCCACCGGAGGGUCGCACCGCCAGAUCCCCACGCCGAUUAUCAUGGCGGUGAUGAGGUCUGAACGCGAUGGCGGAAGCAAUCGGCUGUUUCUCUUGGGAACGGGGUUCGUCGGGCGAUACCCGUACGAUCGCAUCACUAGACAAGGCUGACAUUUCUGUGGCAUCAGUGUAAAUGAUCCUAUGAAAAGAGAGCUCAAGGAGAUGGGAUUAGAGGCCUUUAUUUUUUAUGAGUUAAGCAACAAUUAAGUUUUUUCUACCUGUAGACAAUUUUAUCAUAGUUUAUUGCGUAGUGUAUUUAAUUAAGGAAGAAGAAUGUCUGAUCGAGAUUCCAAGCAUGAAUAUGAUGGCACUUUGUGCUAUUUUAUCAAUGUCAACAGAGCAAAUAAGGGCUAUAAAUUUUGUUCUUUCAUAUAACUUUACAUAUCGUAAAUUUUGGUUGCCACAAAUGCAGGCAACCAAACAGCUUCUUAGAGUGGCCUGAAUGGAUUCAAAGAGUUAUUUACUCUUUCACCAAUAGACAUAAAAUUAAUCAAUAUCAUUGGUUCAGUCAGACCAAGAUGCGGUCCAGGCUCGGUGCUGGCUCAGGUCUGAUUCGUCAAUCAAUCUGCAGUUGGGCUUCAAUACAGACUGGAAUGGGUUUGGUUCAUACUCAGGUCUAGCUUGAGUCUGAUUUGGGUUUGGUUCACUAUAAGCAGGUUAGCCUAGACGAGCGCCUGGGAUGCCUAGCAGCCAGCCUGAGGUGCUUGCCUAGGUCACACCCGACAUGUAUUGAGGUGCUUAGGGCUUGCUUUGCUUGGUUCGAGCGCCUAUUAAUAUCACUGGCACACUAAUGUCACGGACAAACUUCUAAACAAGAUGUUUGAUGUAAUGCUCAUGUAUGUCCGUGUCUCUUGGUAUGUUCAUGCCUUGUACAGAAUGUAGAGGGGCGGCCAAAGGCUUAAUAGUCUCAUUUUAGUUGGGUUGGUGGCCUCUUUAGGCUUGUAAAUAAAGAUUGUGUCAUGUGGACACGUGCGAGAGAUUUUCAGUCUGUAAUGGACCAUUUUACCCUUUGUUGUGCCACUGUUCAGAGCUUGUAAAGUCUGUUUGUAAUUUGCAUUGUCUAUGAAGUGUUUUUCGGAGAUGUUUGCUUGUGGAUCCCGAUUGAGGCGUUCUCUCUAACCCGUUCUCUCUUUUGUUGGUCCUAAGGGACAAAGGGAGGCUUCGGGGAGGCUGACCUUUGCGGACGGACACGCAAGGGUGCCGCACGACUUAGGCAAAACCAGCUAAGUCCGUGACAGAUGGUAUCAGAGUGGGACAAGCACUCAUAGAAACACUUAGCAUGCAAACGUGGGGGACCUAGCGGGGCUGCGUUGAGGGCAGUCAGCACACGCGCGACCGUUUGGGGGAAAACGGGCAUGGAGAUGUAAGGAAAAGGAGUCGCUCGGAGGAGCGGGCAUCUAACAUUGGCAUUCAGAGGAAUGGCCAACCCUUCGCGCAAGAGGCACCACGAGAACAGGCAAGCUUGGAAGAAUUUGGAGCGCACAAAGGUUGGGAUGGCUGAGUUUGAGCUACGGCUCAACGUUGACAACUAUACUUGAUGGUGCUCAAGGCAAGCGAGGCGCUUGGCAAAGGAUGAGACCAUGCAAGGUGGAAUGAGUUGUUCAGCGAUCGAAAGAGUUGUGCAAAGCUCACAGAGGUGAGGGGAAUUGCUAACUCAAAGAAUUCGAUACUCAUGCAUGGGCUUGUAUGCGGACGAUGGAAUGUUCGUGGCCAUCCCAAGGCGACCGAAACUCGGCGCCAUGGAGCAUUGAAACUUUCUCUUCGGCAUGUGAAGGAUACGUCCGUAGGAGGCUGAAGUGUGCAAUGAGUUCAGCAUGUUGCUAGGCCUUGAGGGGUGCAGCGGGGACUGUAUUGACGGGGAGUCGCAAUCUAGCAAGUGCGUUUGCAGGAGGCAGAACAAUGCACAGUUUGUUCAGCAGAUCGGAGUAGUCCAAGGGGAUGGUGGUCUCCGAAACGAAGAGAGAUGUUGCUCCAAUGGGAUAGUUAUCCAGGAGGGAUAAGUCCCGGCUCUCCGAGGGAGAAUCAUGUGAGACGGACCUCACAAGUUGAGGAGGAGUACCUCAACAAACAACAAUUCCACGAAGCUCGAUGGACUGAGCAAGCGGCGAGGAGUCGUCGCAUGAUCUCGCUUGAGAGAAUGCAUUGGUGGAUGCAUUGCGAGAUCAAGUGGGGGAGCGAUCCAAAGCAACUUAAAUGAAGGCACACUUGGAGUCGAUAUGGAGAUCGGACUCAAGGGAGGGCUGACCCGUGGAAUGGUGGGUGCGAGGGCCACCAUCGACUCAAUACAAAAACGAGGAGCGGAGCAACUUGGGUGUAACUUGGCGAAGUACCCAAGCCGCAUGAAGGGAGCCAGCAUAGAAGUUGGAACAUGGAGCAGAGGCACAGUGCUUUCCCUAGACAGAGGUCAAGGACAUGAACUCUUGCAGAGGCAGGAGUAGAAUCAUGUUGUUCCAUGGGUCCUUCAUUCUGACAGAGCGGACUCAUCUUGCAUGGUGCCAAAGACGAAGGGAGCUUCGGGGCACAUGCACCUUAUCUCGGAGGAGCAUUUGAUGGAGGAACUAAGGCGACUCAAUUUGCGGAGGCGAAGUUGAGUUCAGAAGGCCUUAGCACGGGGCAAGAGGACGCAGAGGCGGGUACUCUUGAAGAAUAUGCCACAGUGUUGUCAUUCAAGUUGCCAUGAAGGAAGCGGUGCGCAGCGGAGAUUGUGCUGGUAGGGGCAGAGGCCCAGGAUCCAGACAAUGGUGCACAAAUUACAGUGAAGUCGGUGGACUUCGGGAGCUACUAGGCGACGGACUGUCCUAGAGCGGUGCUUCAUCUAGGUGUGACCCAAGAGUGGGUGGAUGAAGGUUGAUUGCCAAAGGAGCGAACAAAAUCGAAGGUGGAGGAGACCCUGCGAUGUAUUGGCAAAGGCCACACAUGGAGGGUUCACAAUUCGAGUUUAUUCCACAAGGAUCAGAAUGCAAUGGAGAUGUCACCAGGAGGCGACAUGGUGCAGCGGAUCGUGGUGGAACAGUUCGUGGCAAUGCGAUACACACGACCUAGUCCCGGGAGGGACUAUAUCAUAUGGAGGUAUGAUCGGGAGCUACUGGAAGCUCCACUUCGGUGAACAACACGACGGCAAGAAGGGCUAUGGAUUUAAGGAGUGAAGGCCAUGGUACCGCAGAGGCGGGUCUUUCGUGCGUGCAUCGAAUUUUGCAUCGGAUGAAAACCUUGGUCAUCAGCAUAUGGGGGCUGUGUUCCACCAAGGGAAAAGUUCGAAUGCAAGUACCAGUGAGUUCCAUGGGAGGGACUUUAUCAUGCAGAGGUAUGAUCGAAGCAGCUGGAGAGUUGGACUGCUCCAGAGCUCAUAUUCGCUUAAGGGAGCCCGACAAGUCAGAGGACAAGGUCGAGUAAGCGAACGUUGCUACCAAGGAAGCUAAGGAGAACAGAAUCGGUGCAGACCCUAUAAUGCGAUGGCAGAGGCCAUGCAUGGGAGUUGCAGUCUGUCUUUCCAUCGACCAAAGGAGAGCUGCUUGGAGAACACAGAUGUGUUGAAGCAGGGGGUCGAAAAGGGCGAGGAAGCGACGACGAGUCCAGGGGGACUUAGCUACCCAAAAUCAAGCAUCAGUUAGAAUGGAGGUGGACUCGGAGGAGUGCCACAGAGACAUAUCUACUGAUUGUGAAGAAAAGGGAUGCAGAUGCGAGGCAACGGAUAGUAGCGCCAUGGGCAUGGCUGCGCCAUGGUACCGCAGAGGCGGGACUUCCGUGAAAGUCAUUGAUCCCUUGCUCUCAUGGAGGGAGAGUGCUUGGUCGUGAAAGGGGCCGAGGAGGUGGAGCAUGCAGAGGCAAUCUCCAAGUACCGAGACAAGGCUGAAGGGCAGAGGCCGAGGAACUUCGUAAGACCGGUGUCAACAAGUUUCUCAUCAAGAUAGCCGUAAGUGAAGGACUUCGGGUCAUGCAAGAGUGCACGACCAAGGAACGAAGCAAGCAGUACGUAGUGCUGUACCUUUGCUACUCAGUGGAGUAGGCGGCAGGGUUGAUGGAGAAGACGGUACAAUCCCAGAGGCGACCUCAUCUAUCAGAGAAUUACUCCAAGUUGGGGUGAAAACUUCCUGCAUUCCAGAAGUUCAAUGGCAUUGAGAAGGUGAAUCACAGUAGCUAACUCAACGCAAGGAGUGCAAACACUUCAAGUGCUUCAGAAGUGUGAGCAAAGAGCAGGCGAAGGUUAGUAACCAGCUCGAUGCAUGAAGUACAACCUCGAGGAGGCGAGCGAAGUCAAGUAUCCUUUGCCUUCUCAACUCUUAAGAGGAUGGGAGAAACCGAGUACCCCAAUUCUCUUAUCUAUCCAGCAGAGGAGCUCUGCAUAUGUUCAAAGACCCUUCGAAGAUAAUGGAAGACAAUAGUUGUCAAAUCCUCACCAACGGUGAUCAGUGCUACUGAGAGUAGAUUGUCCGCUUCAUUUCCCAACGAAAUGCCAAUCGAAAGCGGAAGUGAUGCGAACCUACUUGGAUGCGACAACUAAGUGAAAGAAGAGUCAAUGAGCAAAUUUUGUGGAGGAAGGACCCAAAACUUCAGAAGUUUGCGAGACGAUGCUCGUUAAAGCUCCAACAAGCAUCCACCCAGUUCAAGCAGCAUGAGGAAUUUGAGAGACUGGCGCAAUAAGGAUGGUCUUUUCCUUCAUCUGGGGGAUCCGCAGGAAUCAACAAUGAUCAACACAACUCAGCCAACCCCACACCAGAGUCAGAGUCAUUGGUGAGUUGAAGCAGCAUGGCGGAUCAAAGGUUCGACUACUCAAAAACAGCAGCGGAGAGCAGCUAGGAGCCAAGAGGCGCAUUGUAGCUGGAGCAGAAGAUUGAAGACUCAGCAAAGGCGAGAAGUUGCAGUGUCGACAAAGGCUUCAACGAGGACGUCGAAGGAAUAAGUGAGGGAGAAUGUCACGGACAAACUUCUAAACAAGAUGUUUGAUGUAAUGCUCAUGUAUGUCUGUGUCUCUUGGCAUGUUCAUACCUUGUACAGAAUGUAGAGGGGCGGCCGAAGGCUUAAUAGUCCCAUUUUAGUUGGGUUGGUGGCCUCUUUAGGCUUGUAAAUAAAGGUUGUGUCAUGUGGACACAUGCGAGAGAUUUUCGAUCUGUAAUGGACCAUUUUACCCUUUGUUGUGCCACUGUUCAGAGCUUGUUAGGUCUGUUUGUAAUUUGCAUUGUCUAUGAAGUGUUUUUCGGAGAUGUUUGCUUGUGGAUCCCGAUUGAGGCGUUCUUUCUAACCCGUUCUCUCUUUGUUGGUCCUAAGGGACAAAGGGAGGCUUCGGGGAGGCUGACCUUUGCAGACGGACACGCAAGGGUGCCGCACGACUUAGGCAAAACCAGCUAAGUCCGUGACACUAAUCUACCAUCACAUGUUAUAGAAGCAGAAAGCAAUCUAAGAAACUAUUUAUUAUUCUUGGUAAGUUUGAGAUCUGUAUGUGAUGAUAAUGCACUCAGCUAAUUUCGCCCACUACAUGUUUUGACUAAUUUCUAGUAACUAGCAGCUAAUCAAACUGAUUGAUUUUAAAUCUUUAAUUUCAUAAUUAUCUGUAGAGAAGCAUGUGCUAGCUAAUUGAUUUCAUAAUCAUGCAAAUUCUUUGAUUAUAUGAAGAGGUAGAGAAGUAUGUAUUUACAAAACUGAGUGUGUUUCUCUGCCUAAUUGAAGUUCAUGUAGUAAAGGACAUGUACCAAUGACAAUUUUAGUUUUGCUUCAUGACAACUAAUGGUUUACUGUCAGCAAAUCUAGAUGUAUUCAUUCACCUGCUAGCAGAAAAUCUUAGAUUUAUAUGUUAUAUUUCAAUAUUGGAUAUAUUUUCAAGGUGGAUUGCCUGGAUUCGAAAGUCUGAAGAACUCACUAGGGAUCUUCUAUGAUAUGGAAUCUUCUGGCGGUGUUUUUUAUGAAUAAGAAGUUUAAUUUAGAUGACAGUACUCUUAAAAUUAAAGUCUUUGGUUCUUUUUAAUAUGGUUGGUAAUUAUUUCGUGAUUUCUAAUAUGAAUCAAAUUUCUCUAAGAACUAGGUUACUUGGAGGAUAAGGAAUUCAAAGUAUGGAAAGAUUUCUGUGUGAAGAAACAAAUCUUGGAAAUUAGGAUAUAGUUAUUCAAUAAAUAUCCUAUGUAUAUAAAGUAUUGAUGACGAAUGCAUAAUUUUUUUAUAUGAGAUGUGUGGAAAAAAAAAAAACUUAAGAGUGCUUCCAAGGGAGUCUUAAGUUAACUCAAGAAGACAACUAUAGUUAUUAUUUUCAUAGACAUUAGUAAGAGUGCCGAAUCACAAAGCUUAUUAUCUUUUGAUUCUCUGAAUUGUUCCUUAAUACUAGUAUUGCCUCUUUGUAGGUAUGUUUUUUGUUUUCUCAAAGUUUAUUAUUUUUUAUUAUCUGAAUUGUUUCAUAAGUAUUGCCUCUUUUUGGUUGCAUUUCCAAGUGAUCCAAUGAUUUAAGAUGACCCCAUUGAAGACUUAGAAGCUGAUGUAGGAGAUGUCGUUGCUGGGACCUUUUGGUCCUCUUUAUACUGAAGAGGAUUAUCUUUUGAUUGUUAAAAUAUUAUGUCUUUAUAGUGUAAAACUUUUUUCUAUGAAGAUGAUCGUGUAGACAAAAUCACGACUAAGGGGACUCUUCUUGAGUGCAUAGCUGCUGCUGGGUGGGUGUAAAACUAUUAAACAGUCGUAUACUAGGAGUCAACCCUCAAUGUCACCCCGCUCAAGUCAACGGGCAUUGCAUUAUGGUGCAAAAAUCAAUGAACUCAUAAUAGAGACUCCUAUUAAAACAAAGAUAAAGGGGCUUCUUAUUUACUUUGAAAAUGGGAGGAAUUCCUCUCUUAAGAAGAGGAGGCCUAGAAAAUCCUCCAUUUUAAGAUGCAAAUAGACUUCUUAUAUGCAGAUCAUUGUGCUCGAUAUGCUAAGAGAAUCAUGAUGUAGGAUUAGGUCAAAUGAACAAUAAAAGAUGCCAUGUUAGGAGAUGCUUCCCCACAAUGCGCACCAUCUUAACAUGAAGCUACUGCAAUAGUGUUAAGAGAUCACUGAGCCAAUCUUGGCAUUUGUCCCCAACACUGAUGCUAUCUUUUUUAUUCCCACUGUAAAAGUGUUAGUCAUAUAUUUUUCGAAUGCUCUUUCAGUUCUACAGUAUGGUCACUUAUUAGGUUAAGCUGGACAUUCACUUUCAACACUUGGACUCAUGGCAUGCUGGAAGGGAGUGAUCUCAACAAGCAUGGUGCUAUGACCUUGAGAGCUUUGAUCGCAUAUACCUUUUGGUUAAUCUAGAAGGCCCAAAAUGAGGUAGUUUUUGGGAACUGCAAGAAAACUCCAAAAUCCAUUUUCUAUCAAGUGAUGGUGCAUGGUUUUGAUUGUAUUCCUUCUUCCAUAUACGAGGGCCAACAAGAUUUGAUAAACCGGAUCAAUUUUAGAUGGUCUCCUCUGCAGCAGGACUGGUAUAGGCUCAACACUGAUGGCACUUUUCAUGAGCCAUUCCAGGUUGGUGGGGUGGGAUUUUUGCUGCUUCGUGACUCUAUUGGCAUCUGCUUGUUUGCAGGUGGCAAGAACACUGAAGGCAAAGGCAGCUUCCUCAACGAGUUGGCUGCUAUUCGUGAAGGACUGCUGUUGUGUAAGGAGUGACGAGUGGGGAAAGUGGAAGUGGAGACGAAUGCAGAAUACAUGGUACGCCUGUUGCCACGACACUGUGAUCCCCCUUGGCGAUUUACAACCUCAUGCAAGAUGUUUUUUUUAGAUGCAAAAAAUUUCUCAUACUUUUUCAUGAAGGAAAUUGAUAUGCCAACUAGUUGGCAAAUA